rnacentral:rRNA from 1 species
AGAGUUUGAUCAUGGCUCAGGAUGAACGCUGGCGGCGUGCCUAAUACAUGCAAGUCGAACGGGGUGAGCAAUCACUUAGUGGCGACCGGGUGCGUAACACGUAGCUGACCUGCCCUGACGCGGGGGACAACUGCUGGAAACGGCAGCUAAUACCGCAUGACACUCCAGUGACUAAAGAGCUGGCGUGAAACUUACGGGGCGACAGGAGGGGGCUGCGGCCCAUCAGGUAGUUGGUGAGGUAACGGCUCACCAAGCCGACGACGGGUAGGGGGCCUGAGAGGGUGGUCCCCCACACUGGGACUGACAACGGCCCAGACUCCUACGGGAGGCAGCAGUAAGGGAUAUUGCGCAAUGGGCGAAAGCCUGACGCAGCAACGCCGCGUGGAGGAAGAAGGCCUUCGGGUCGUAAACUCGUUUUGACGCUGAGGAAAAAAGACCGUAGGCGUCGAAUAAGUCACGGCUAACUACGUGCCAGCAGCCGCGGUA